rnacentral:rRNA from 1 species
CCUACGGGGCGCAGCAGUAGGGAAUUUUCGUCAAUGGGCGCAAGCCUGAACGAGCAAUGCCGCGUGAACGAGGAAGGUCUUCGGAUCGUAAAGUUCUGUUGAAGGGGAGAAAGAGCGGAGAGAGGAAAUGGUCUCCGAUUGAUAUUACCCUUCGAGGAAGUCACGGCUAACUACGUGCCAGCAGCCGCGGUAAUACGGAGGAUGCGAGCGUUAUCCGGAUUUAUUGGGCGUAAAGCGAGUGCAGGCGGUUCAAUAAGUCUGAUGUGAAAGCCUUCGGGUACACCGGAGAAUUGCAUC